rnacentral:rRNA from 1 species
UACGGAGGGUGCAAGCGUUAUCCGGAAUCACUGGGUUUAAAGGGUGCGUAGGCGGCCCGGUAAGUCAGAGGUGAAAGCCGACAGCUCAACUGUCGAGGGGCCUUUGAUACUGCCAGGCUUGAAUCAAGUUGAGGUGGGCAGAAUGCGGCAUGUAGCGGUGAAAUGCUUAGAGAUGCCGUAGAAUACCAAUUGCGAAGGCAGCCUGCUGGGCUUAGAUUGACGCUGAGGCACUAAAGCGUGGGGAGCAAACAGG